rnacentral:rRNA from 1 species
GAUGAACGCUGGCGGCGUGCCUAAUACAUGCAAGUCGAGCGAACAGAUAAGGAGCUUGCUCCUUUGACGUUAGCGGCGGACGGGUGAGUAACACGUGGGUAACCUACCUAUAAGACUGGAAUAACUCCGGGAAACCGGGGCUAAUGCCGGAUAACAUUUAGAACCGCAUGGUUCUAAAGUGAAAGAUGGUUUUGCUAUCACUUAUAGAUGGACCCGCGCCGUAUUAGCUAGUUGGUAAGGUAACGGCUUACCAAGGCAACGAUACGUAGCCGACCUGAGAGGGUGAUCGGCCACACUGGAACUGAGACACGGUCCAGACUCCUACGGGAGGCAGCAGUAGGGAAUCUGACGCAAUGGGCGAAAGCCUGACGGAGCAACGCCGCGUGAGUGAUGAAGGUCUUCGGAUCGUAAAACUCUGUUAUUAGGGAAGAACAAAUGUGUAAGUAACUGUGCACGUCUUGACGGUACCUAAUCAGAAAGCCACGGCUAACUACGUG